CAGCAGCCACGGUAAGACAGAGGAUGCAAGCGUUAUCCGGAAUGAUUGGGCGUAAAGCGUGCGCAGGCGGUUAUAUAAGACAGAUGUGAAAUCCCCGGGCUCAACCUGGGAACUGCAUUUGUGACUGUAUAGCUAGAGUACGGCAGAGGGGGAUGGAAUUCCGCGUGUAGCAGUGAAAUGCGUAGAUAUGCGGAGGAACACCGAUGGCGAAGGCAAUCCCCUGGGCCUGUACUGACGCUCAUGCACGAAAGCGUGGGGAGCAAACAGGAUUAGAUACCCCUGUAGUCCCUGUCUCUUAUAC
rnacentral:rRNA from 1 species